UGGCUCAAUUGGUGGAGCAUGGCACUUGCAAUGCCAGGGUUGUGGGUUUGAUUCCCAC
rfam:Salmo salar isolate Sally breed double haploid chromosome ssa01, whole genome shotgun sequence.